rnacentral:rRNA from 1 species
GGUUUCCUAUGGGAGGCAGCAGUGAGGAAUAUUGGUCAAUGGUCGGGAGACUGAACCAGCCAAGCCGCGUGAGGGAUGAAGGUACAGAGUAUCGUAAACCUCUUUUGUCAGGGAACAAAGGCGGGGACGCGUCCCCGGAUGAGUGUACCUGAAGAAAAAGCAUCGGCUAACUCCGUGCCAGCAGCCGCGGUAAUACGGAGGAUGCGAGCGUUAUCCGGAUUUAUUGGGUUUAAAGGGUGCGCAGGCGGUCUGUUAAGUCAGCGGUCAAAGCCCGGGGCUCAACCCCGGUCCGCCGUUUAAACUGG